UCGGACCGGUUGGACAUCCCCUGGUGGGUGGCCCCCAAUCUUGGCAGGGGGCAACAACCAGAGAUUGCUGACGUCUUACAUUCUGGCAUCAACCAAUUGUGAGAGAUACCCAUAGUAUUCUUUGGCUUUCUCAUUGUGCUCUUUAGGCGUCGAGGUUAGUUAGCAAGGCAAGUUGAGACUCAGUGUGCUCUGGAUCGAGGGUCAAUUCAUUGUGCUAUGACGUGACUCACUAUAUUUCCACGUCGCUAGUCAAAGUAAAAGUCAGCGUCGUCAUCGCCCCGUGUGCUAUCGAGGAGACUCAUCUUGCCACGUCAUUGGUCUACACAGAAGUCAUGAUCGUCGUUAUCAU
rnacentral:lncRNA from 1 species